CCCUUAGAUGUUCUGGGCCGCACGCGCGCUACACUGAUGCAUUCAACGAGUCUAAAACCUGCUCUGAUAGGGGUGGGUAAUCUUUUGAAUGUGCAUCGUGAUUGGGAUAGAUGAUUGCAAUUUUUCAUCUUCAACGAGGAAUGCCUAGUAAACGCAAGUCAUCAGCUUGCAUUGAUUACGUCCCUGCCCUUUGUACACACCGCCCGUCGCUCCUACCGAUUGAAUGAUCCGAUGAAUAUCAUGGAUUGAGGAUUAUAGCAGGUUCGCCUGUCUUGAUCUUCGAGAAGUGAAGUAAAUCUUAUCAUUUAGAGGAAGGAGAAGUCGGAACA
rnacentral:rRNA from 1 species